rnacentral:rRNA from 1 species
GACGAACGCUGGCGGCGUGCUUAACACAUGCAAGUCGAACGGAAAGGCCCUGCUUUUGUGGGGUGCUCGAGUGGCGAACGGGUGAGUAACACGUGAGUAACCUGCCCUUGACCUUGGGAUAACUUCAGGAAACUGGGGCUAAUACCGGAUAGGAGCUCCUGCUGCAUGGUGGGGGUUGGAAAGUUUCGGCGGUUGGGGAUGGACUCGCGGCUUAUCAGCUUGUUGGUGGGGUAGUGGCUUACCAAGGCUUUGACGGGUAGCCGGCCUGAGAGGGUGACCGGCCACAUUGGGACUGAGAUACGGCCCAGACUCCUACGGGAGGCAGCAGUGGGGAAUAUUGCACAAUGGGCGGAAGCCUGAUGCAGCAACGCCGCGUGCGGGAUGACGGCCUUCGGGUUGUAAACCGCUUUCGCCUGUGACGAAGCGUGAGUGACGGUAAUGGGUAAAGAAGCACCGGCUAACUACGUGCCAGCAGCCGCGGUGAUACGUAGGGUGCGAGCGUUGUCCGGAUUUAUUGGGCGUAAAGGGCUCGUAGGUGGUUGAUCGCGUCGGAAGUGUAAUCUUGGGGCUUAACCCUGAGCGUGCUUUCGAUACGGGUUGACUUGAGGAAGGUAGGGGAGAAUGGAAUUCCUGGUGGAGCGGUGGAAUGCGCAGAUAUCAGGAGGAACACCAGUGGCGAAGGCGGUUCUCUGGGCCUUUCCUGACGCUGAGGAGCGAAAGCGUGGGGAGCGAACAGGCUUAGAUACCCUGGUAGUCCACGCUGUAAACGGUGGGUACUAGGUGUGGGGUCCAUUCCACGGGUUCCGUGCCGUAGCUAACGCUUUAAGUACCCCGCCUGGGGAGUACGGCCGCAAGGCUAAAACUCAAAGGAAUUGACGGGGCCCCGCACAAGCGGCGGAGCAUGCGGAUUAAUUCGAUGCAACGCGUAGAACCUUACCUGGGUUUGACAUGGAUCGGGAGUGCUCAGAGAUGGGUGUGCCUCUUUUGGGGUCGGUUCACAGGUGGUGCAUGGCUGUCGUCAGCUCGUGUCGUGAGAUGUUGGGUUAAGUCCCGCAACGAGCGCAACCCUUGUUCACUGUUGCCAGCACGUUAUGGUGGGGACUCAGUGGAGACCGCCGGGGUCAACUCGGAGGAAGGUGGGGAUGACGUCAAGUCAUCAUGCCCCUUAUGUCCAGGGCUUCACGCAUGCUACAAUGGCUGGUACAGAGAGUGGCGAGCCUGUGAGGGUGAGCGAAUCUCGGAAAGCCGGUCUCAGUUCGGAUUGGGGUCUGCAACUCGACCUCAUGAAGUCGGAGUCGCUAGUAAUCGCAGAUCAGCAACGCUGCGGUGAAUACGUUCCCGGGGCUUGUACACACCGCCCGUCAAGUCAUGAAAGUUGGUAACACCCGAAGCCGGUGGCCUAACCGUUGUGGGGGAGCCGUCGAAGGUGGGACUGGU